rnacentral:rRNA from 1 species
AUACGGGGGGUGCAAGCGUUGUCCGGAAUCAUUGGGCGUAAAGGGUUCGUAGGUGGAAUUAUAAGUCUGGUGUGAAAGCCCACAGCUCAACUGUGGAACUGCACUGGAUACUGUUUUUCUUGAGUUAUAGAGGGGUUUGUGGAAUUUAUGGUGUAGAGGUGAAAUUUGUAGAGAUCAGAAAGAACACCGGUGGCGAAGGCGACAAACUGGCUAUUAACUGACACUGAGGAACGAAAGCGUGGGGAGCGAACAGGAUUAGAUACCCCAGUAGUCC